UACGAAGGGUGCAAGCGUUACUCGGAAUUACUGGGCGUAAAGGGCGCGCAGGCGGCGGACCAAGUCAGGCGUGAAAGCCCCGGGCUCAACCUGGGAGGUGCGUCUGGGACUGGUUUGCUGGAGUUCGGGAGAGGAGCGUGGAAUUCCCAGUGUAGAGGUGAAAUUCGUAGAUAUUGGGAAGAACACCGGUGGCGAAGGCGGCGCUCUGGACCGAGACUGACGCUGAGGCGCGAAAGCGUGGGGAGCGAACAGG
rnacentral:rRNA from 1 species